rnacentral:rRNA from 1 species
CGGUUAAGUUAGAAAGGGCGCACGGUGGAUGCCUUGGCACUAGGAGCCGAUGAAGGACGGUACGAACACCGAUAUGCUUCGGGGAGCUGUAAGUAAGCGUUGAUCCGGAGAUUUCCGAAUGGGGAAACCCGCUGCUCGUAAUGGAGCAGCAUCCUGGCCUGAAUACAUAGGGUCAGAGAAGGCAGACCCGGGGAACUGAAACAUCUAAGUACCCGGAGGAAGAGAAAGCAAAUGCGAUUCCCUGAGUAGCGGCGAGCGAAACGGGAUCAGCCCAAACCAGAAGGCUUGCCUUCUGGGGUUGUAGGACACUCAACACGGAGUUACAAAGGAACGGGGUAGAGGAAGCGGCCUGGAAAGGCCCGCCAGAGAAGGUAACAGCCCUGUAGUCGAAACUUCGUUCCCUCCUGAGUGGAUCCUGAGUACGGCGGGACACGAGAAAUCCCGUCGGAAUCCGGGAGGACCAUCUCCCAAGGCUAAAUACUCCCUAGUGACCGAUAGUGAACCAGUACCGUGAGGGAAAGGUGAAAAGCACCCCGGAAGGGGAGUGAAAGAGAUCCUGAAACCGUGUGCCUACAAGUAGUCAGAGCCCGUUAACGGGUGAUGGCGUGCCUUUUGUAGAAUGAACCGGCGAGUUACGAUGACGUGCAAGGUUAAGUUGAAGAGACGGAGCCGCAGCGAAAGCGAGUCUGAAUAGGGCGCAUCAGUUCGUCGUCGUAGACCCGAAACCAGGUGAUCUACCCAUGUCCAGGGUGAAGUUCAGGUAACACUGAAUGGAGGCCCGAACCCACGCACGUUGAAAAGUGCGGGGAUGAGGUGUGGGUAGCGGAGAAAUUCCAAUCGAACCUGGAGAUAGCUGGUUCUCUCCGAAAUAGCUUUAGGGCUAGCCUCAUGGCAAGAGUCUUGGAGGUAGAGCACUGAUUGGACUAGGGGCCCCCAACGGGUUACCGAAUUCAGUCAAACUCCGAAUGCCAAAGACUUAUCCAUGGGAGUCAGACUGCGAGUGAUAAGAUCCGUAGUCGAAAGGGAAACAGCCCAGACCACCAGC